ensembl:lncRNA
UUUGCACUACAUUCUAUUCAUUAGAAAUUACUAAAUUCAGCCCACACUUAAAGUGGGGGGCAUUAGGCUCCAUCUUUUGUAGGAAGGUGUAUCCAAGAAUUUGUGAACAUCUUUUUAAACCAGCACAUUAGCUGUCAUUAGAAUUUGAAGAAAUGAGAAUUGGCUGAUUCUAAGCCUGGGGCAGAAAAUACCCGUAAUGAGGAGCCUGGAGGAUCUUUUACUAUCAAAAGGGUAUCGUUCUCAUUGGGAGAAGAAUUGUCUGAGAACCUCUAAGCCAUGCUCAUAUUGAACUUCUGAAACUGAGUCCACGACAACAUCUGGUGGGGCAAGAGCAGGGACAGUAACAAACUCCAAGUCAGGAUCACCAGUUACUUUCCUAGGAAGCCGAUAGACAGGCUUCUCAAAGCAGUAGGUACUUCUGGCAGAAAUCUCAUGUUACAAAUAUUCUUCUUUUAUUGGAAGAUGAUGGAUUUUUAAAAAUUUUUCCAGUCCUUAACAUCCACUAUGUUGCCAUGCAAUAUGAUGGGGUUGUUUUCAUAUACUCCCAACAGAUCUCUAUACCACCUAGGUGCACACUUGUAACUCUCGCUGUUAAAGUCAAAAAUUUUAGUCGCACACUUGCUUUGGAUACUUUGUAGUCCUCCUUAUCUGCAGUUUCACUUUCCGCAGUUUCAAUUAUCCUGAGGUCAACUGCAGUCCAAAAAUAUUAAAUGGAAAAUUACAGAAAUAAAUAAUUCAUAAGUUUUAAAUUGCGAACCAUUCUGACUAGCAUGAUGAAAUUUCGUGCCAUCCUGUUCCAUCCUGCCCAGAUGUGAAUCAUCUCUGUGUCCAGUGGAUCCACGCUGUAUAUGCUACCUGCCCAUCUGUCACUUAGUAGUGUCUCCAUUAUCAGAUCAACCGUCGUGAUGUCACAGUACUUGUGUUCAAGUCACCCUUAUUUUACUUAAUAAUGGCCCCAAAGCACAAGAGUAGUAAUGCUGGCAAUUCAGAUAUGCCAAAGAGACGCCGUAAAGUGCUUCCUUCAAGUGAAAAUGUGGAAGUUUUCAACUUACUACGGAAAGGAAAAAAAUCAUAUGCUAAGAUUUUUAUCAUUUGACUACUUGCUAAAAUUCCACCAAAAGUAUUUAAAUGGAAAAAAGAUUGAGUCAAAUAAUCUUGAUUUGCCAGGUGAGUAUAAUGGCUAACAAGGAAGAGAAAAAAGAACCACCACAACCUCCUAAUCAGGAAAUACACUCUGACAGCAGAAAAGUUUGAUCCUGGAUUCUGGUGACUUCCUUAGAUGCUAUGCCUGCAACUUGGUUCAGCUCUUCCCUGGUAACCACCAUUCUACUUUCCAUUUCUAUGAAUUUGACUACUUUAGACACCUCAUACUCUAGGAAAAAAAAAUGUCAACUAUUCUUAACAGAUGAAGUGACAAUAAGAUGGGGAGAAGGCAGCAGAGACCUUCAGAUCCUAUAGCAACACAAAGUGAAAUCUUGAUAAUGACCCAAAAGAAGAGUAAGAAAAAUGAGUCCUAAGAAUUCUUAUAUUAUUUCACAAGGAGUCUUAGAAAGAAGGCUGAGCGUUAUUCAUUGGGUUUUUUUCCCAUUGUUCUCUCUCAUUAAAACUGGCCCUGUUUUGUC